AUCUUGCACCCCAAAAUGGUGUCUUCCCCUUCAUUGGAAUGCUAAGCAGGCCAUGUUUCCAGCUUCAUAGUCCUUGUCUGUGUGAUGAAGUUGCCCAUGACCCCCUACCUUAUGUGGAUGCUGUCCAGUGGAUUCCUGUGCCUGAUUUCCCAUGGAGCAAGGCGUUGCUGAGCAUGUGUCACAUUUCAGUUGAGGGGGGGUCUGAACGUCCUGCAGCAUCAGGACACUUCCGCGCAGCACCACACAUGAAGGGAUGACGACACAAACACUUCUUCCAAGGAAACCCCAGCACCAGCUGACUAACCUAAGUGUCUGCAUCGUCUUCGAGGAGAGGAGAAAGGAAGAUGAGGAAUGCAGAUAUUGAUUGUUUUAGUCUUUAUUUGGUUCAGAGUUUAUUAUUAUUUGUAUGAUGCUGAAAUCCAAUAAAGGCGUCACAUCAAUCGGUA